rnacentral:rRNA from 1 species
CAGGAUGAACGCUAGCUACAGGCUUAACACAUGCAAGUCGAGGGGCAGCAUGUGGUUGCUGCAACCAAUGAUGGCGACCGGCGCACGGGUGAGUAACGCGUAUCCAACUUCCCCUUAGUAGAGGAUAGCCCGGCGAAAGUCGGAUUAAUACUCUAUGUUCUUCAAUGCGGACAUCUAAGUUGAAGCAAAGAUUUAUCGCUAAGGGAUGGGGAUGCGUCUGAUUAGGUUGCAGGCGGGGUAACGGCCCACCUGGCCUACGAUCAGUAGGGGUUCGUGAGAGGAAGGUCCCCACCACCGGUACUGAGACACGGACCAGACUCCUACGGGAGGCAGCAGUGAGGAAUAUUGGUCAAUGGGCGCGAGCCUGAACCAGCCAAGUAGCGUGCAGGAACCGACUCGCCCUAUGGGUUGUAAACUGCUUUUAUCAGGGAAUAAAGUGAGGCACGCGUGCCUUUUUGUAUGUACCUGAUGAAUAAGGACCGGCUAAUUCCGUGCCAGCCGCUGC